GAUGAACGCUGGCGGCGUGCCUAAUACAUGCCAGUCGAGCGAACAGACGAGGAGCUUGCUCCUCUGACGUUAGCGGCGGACGGGUGAGUAACACGUGGAUAACCUACCUAUAAGACUGGGAUAACUUCGGGAAACCGGAGCUAAUACCGGAUAAUAUAUUGAACCGCAUGGUUCAAUAGUGAAAGACGGUUUUGCUGUCACUUAUAGAUGGAUCCGCGCCGCAUUAGCUAGUUGGUAAGGUAACGGCUUACCAAGGCAACGAUGCGUAGCCGACCUGAGAGGGUGAUCGGCCACACUGGAACUGAGACACGGUCCAGACUCCUACGGGAGCCAGCAGUAGGGAAUCUUCCGCAAUGGGCGAAAGCCUGACGGAGCAACGCCGCGUGAGUGAUGAAGGUCUUCGGAUCGUAAAACUCUGUUAUUAGGGAAGAACAAAUGUGUAAGUAACUAUGCACGUCUUGACGGUACCUAAUCAGAAAGCCACGGCUAACUACGUG
rnacentral:rRNA from 1 species